UGGGGAAUAUUGCACAAUGGGGGAAACCCUGAUGCAGCGACGCCGCGUGAGCGAUGAAGGCUUUCGAGUCGUAAAGCUCUGUCCUAUGGGAAGAUAAUGACGGUACCAUAGAAGAAAGCCCCGGCUAAUUACGUGCCAGCAGCCGCGGUAAUACGUAAGGGGCGAGCGUUGUCCGGAAUUAUUGGGCGUAAAGAGUGCGUAGGCGGCAAAUUAAGUCAGAUGUGAAAACUAAGGGCUCAACCCAUAGAUUGCAUCUGAAACUGAUAUGCGUGAGUGAAGGAGAGGAAAGUGGAAUUCCUAGUGUAGCGGUGGAAUGCGUAGAUAUUAGGAGGAAUACCGGUGGCGAAGGCGACUUUCUGGACUUGAACUGACGCUGAGGCACGAAAGCGUGGGGAGCAAACAGG
rnacentral:rRNA from 1 species